rnacentral:rRNA from 1 species
UACGUAGGGUGCAAGCGUUGUCCGGAAUUAUUGGGCGUAAAGAGCUCGUAGGCGGUCUGUCGCGUCGGCUGUGAAAACCCGGGGCUCAACCCCGGGCCUGCAGUCGAUACGGGCAGACUAGAGUGUGGUAGGGGAGACUGGAAUUCCUGGUGUAGCGGUGAAAUGCGCAGAUAUCAGGAGGAACACCGGUGGCGAAGGCGGGUCUCUGGGCCGAUACUGACGCUGAGGUGCGAAAGCGUGGGGAGCAAACAGG